CUUGUUUGAUGGUUUGUACCAAGGUGGUAGCAAUGAAGACGCUAAGAGGGGGUGGGUUUCAGAUGUAUUUUGAAGGUAGAACCAAUAGCAUUUGCCAAGGGAUUCACAUGGUACAUGAGGUUGAUUCCACAGCUCCUGACCAACUGGACUUCUGGUGUUGCCAAUACCUGGGAAGGGAAGAUCGCAGGAAGCACAGACUUGCAGGGAAUGGGGUUAGGUGAGUGAAGCAUCAGGCAUUUAGUUUUGGACAUGUUAAGUCAAAUGCACAAAUAAGUCUGAAAAUGUAGGCUGGGGCCAGACAUAAACGCUUCAAAUGCUACGUGGAGAAAUUGAAGUAGCAUCAGUUGACUUAGGUAAUGGAGAUGCCCAUGUCAGGACCUUUAGAGUGGGCAUUAUAGAGUUGUGAAUUUACUGCUUUGUAGCAAGUUAUCUCAAAACCUAGUGGCUUGAAAUACAUUUCCCAUAGGUCAGAAAUCCAAGCACAAUCUGGGUGGGUCCGCUCUCAGGGUUUCUCACAAGCCUCCGCUACAGAAAGACGUGCUUACAAACUCACAUGGUUGUUGGGUAACUCCUCCCACACUAAUGGUUCAACCUCAGUUGAUUGCUACGCUGGCCUCUCCCAACAUGGCAGCUUAAUUAAAAGUGAGCAAGCUAGGCCAGGCGUGGUGGCUCACGCCUGUAAUUCCAACACUUUGGGAGGCUUGACGCAGGCAGAUCACUUGAGGUCAGGAGUUCAAGACCAGCCUGGCCAACAUGGUGAACCCCCUCUACUAAAUAUACAAAAAUUAGCCAGGCGUGGUAAUCCAAGCUACUCGGGAGGGUGAGGCAGGAGAAUUUGCUUAAACCCAGGGGACGGAGGUUGCAGUGAGCUGAGAUCUCAAAAAAAAAAAAAAAAAGUGAGCAAGCCAAGGAGAAUGAGAAAAAGAGCUAGCAAGUCUCAGAAGUUACACUAGGUCCAGCCUAGUCAAGGGGAGGGGAUUCUGAGUCAAUACCAGGAGUCAUUUUAGAAAUCUAGAGGUCCCAUCUUUGAGGUGAGAUUUUAAGAUACUUAAAAAAUUAUUCACUGUGUAUUUUAAAUAAAAAAUCAUCACAUAUUGAUAAAUGAUGCAGCCUAUUUUUGCAAUUUCCUAUGAAGUUUAUAAACAAAUACCAUAGCCCACAUCAUCCUUACUCAUCUCAUGCAACCAUUAAGGCCUAAUACCCACGAUUUAACAUACACGAUCUUGUGCAGGUGUAAGCAUACAAGUGAGAUACCUCUGUAUUGACCCUCUGCUUUGAAUUCUGGCCCAAGUGUGCUUGCUUAUUCUUAGGUUUCCAAUGCAGAAGCCAAUCACGAGGCACAAUACCUGUGGAAAGCAGGCUUUGCCCACAGAAACCAACUGCCCACUAGG
rnacentral:lncRNA from 1 species